rnacentral:rRNA from 1 species
GGAGUCUGGGCCGUGUCUCAGUCCCAAUGUGGCCGUCCACCCUCUCAGGUCGGCUACCGAUCGUCGCCUUGGUGGGCUGUUAUCUCACCAACUAGCUAAUCGGACGCGAGCCCAUCUUUAACCGGAUUACUCCUUUGACCCCUUCGCUAUGUAGCGUUGUGGUCUUAUGCGGUAUUAGCACAUCUUUCGAUGCGUUAUCCCCCUGUCAAAGGCAGGUUGCUCACGCGUUACUCACCCGUCCGCCGCUGAAACAUCCAAAAAGCAAGCUUUCCAAAUGUCUCCGCUCGACUUGCAUGUGUUAGGCACGCCGCCAGCGUUCGUCCUGAGCCAUGAUCAAACUACU